CGGGGAUCAAACUUGGGACCUUGCGCUUUCAAGGCAGGCGGCAGCACCACUGAGCUAAAUCCCUGGAGCAUCUGCCUUUAAAUGAUAAGAAAUUUAAUUAUUUUAUCAAAGUAUUUAUCAAAGUAUCCACUUUUUUCACUUUUCCCCCUGAACAGUUACUAUUUUUCUUCUUGCAAUCCAUAAGGAACCUGUAGAGCAAUAAUUAGAAACCAGGAAGGACUGUCAGGACCUGUUCUCAAAUACAAUGAUCUCAUUUGUGGUGAUGAUGACGAGCCUAACACGUAUCAUAGUGAUGACUAUUUUAUGAUAUUUACCCAAAAGGCCAAAUACAGAGGAGUGCAAGAGAUUAGCCACACACUAGAGGCCCAAAGAAUCCAGCCAAGGGUCUGGAUCCCACAGCAAUGUCCCACACAAGUCCAGCUGAAGGACUACAGUCCAAGGCCACAUCCUCAGUGGGUCCACCCGGUGGCCUGGAGCUCACAGCAAUGUCUCAUGCUUGUGUAUAUUGAGGAUGUGCACCUGAAAGGCCCAAAGGCCAGUGGUAAAAGACAGAAAACUUAUGCCAGUGGGGGGAAGGAUUUGUGCCACCAGGCUGAGGGAUCUACACUGGAGCCAGGAAGUGAUGCUCACGAUGAAGGUCAGAGCUCCCCUGACGAGAACAGUAGCCAUUCCUAGCUACAGCUAGGCCCUGAGCUCCUCCGACGAGAACAGCCAAGUUCACAUCAGGCAAACCACCCAAAGCAAGCUACUCCUAGAAAAUCAACAGCCCCAGAUCUUCCCCUCCU
rnacentral:lncRNA from 1 species